UACGUAGGGGGCAAGCGUUGUCCGGAAUCAUUGGGCGUAAAGCGCGUGUAGGCGGUUCAGUAAGUCUGCUGUGAAAGUCCAGGGCUCAACCCUGGGAUGCCGGUGGAUACUGCUGGGCUAGAGUUCGGAAGAGGCGAGUGGAAUUCCCGGUGUAGCGGUGAAAUGCGCAGAUAUCGGGAGGAACACCUAUGGCGAAGGCAGCUCGCUGGGACGUUACUGACGCUGAGACGCGAAGGCGUGGGGAGCGAACGGG
rnacentral:rRNA from 1 species